rnacentral:rRNA from 1 species
UACGAAGGGAGCUAGCGUUGUUCGGAAUCACUGGGCGUAAAGCGCACGUAGGCGGAUGUGUCAGUCAGGGGUGAAAUCCCGGAGCUCAACUUCGGAACUGCCUUUGAUACAGCACGUCUUGAGUCCGAUAGAGGUGGGUGGAAUUCCUAGUGUAGAGGUGAAAUUCGUAGAUAUUAGGAAGAACACCAGUGGCGAAGGCGGCUCACUGGCCCGAUACUGACGCUGAGGCACGAAAGCGUGGGGAGCAAACAGG